UCCCUCCUUCCCUACCUGCCUUCCUCCCUUCACCUUCUUUUUACAACACAAGAUACCUUUGGAUGUAAAUUUUAUUAUUAAUUUAAAAAAGAAAACUGACAAGCAAAUCAGAUGGAACCAAUCACAUUUGUUUUCUCCUUACUCUCCGGGGCUUAUUUAUCUCUUGGGUGAUACCAGGUGGGGAAGCCUCAGUCUCUCAGCCUAAGGCAGGGAGAGGCACAAGUCAGAUCUGCAUCUUGAUGCAUAAGUCCCAACUAUGAGGCAAUCCCACGGAUUGGUAUGGGUCUCCUUGCUUUGUGAUUGGCUGAUUAACUCAUGCUUAAGGGCAGCAUUGUUGUUGCUGGUAUUGAAACUAGUCCAUUUACAAAGCAUCCUGCUACAGGGCAGAGAUUUGACAAUUUGAUCUGGCUGCUUCGGCAAAAAUCUAUGUUGAAGAGAGCAUGAUGGUUCCAGAGGUCAUUUGUUGUUGUUGAAAAUUUGUGUUUUUUUACUUAAAAAAUUUUUUUUUUAGUAAUCUCCAUGCCCAACAUGGGCUCGAACCCACAACCCUGAGAUCAAGAUCAAUGUGCUCUACUGAUUAAGCCAGCCAAGUGCCCCAGGAUCAUAGAUUUUUUAAACUCUGGCUGGGGUGGUCCCAGUCAGGGCUCUCUACAGAUACAUGACAUCACAGAGUCCACAUGGCAUCACAGUCCACAUGGCAUCACAGAGCAGUGCUGGUCUCUGCAUGGGAUAGCAUGAAUUGAACCCUGACAUCCUUAGAACAUGAGUCAUGUUCAUGUAGAAACUUCUUAGGGAAAUACUGUUUCUAAUAUAUUAUCUUGCAACAAGGACCAAUUCAAGAGAGAACUUUUUGGAAGGAUAUGUCAGUAUUUUUGAGAAUCACUGGGAAUGGCCAGCACAGCUAUCCAGCCCAAGAAGUUGUCUAGAAAAUGAAGAAGAAGAAGAAGGAGGAGGAGAAGCAAGAGAAGGAGGAGGAGGAGGAGGAGGAGGAGGAGGAGAAGAGAAAAGAAAAUGAAGAAGAAAUAUAAGAAGAAAGGGAUUAAGAAAGAGAAAAGGAGGAGAGAAAGGUGUAUAAUAAGAAAAAAUAUUUAUAAUAUGGAAAUGAUUUUUCAUUUCUGAGUUAGUGGGAUUCUUUACUGACUUCAUUAGAUGUCCCGAACUCUGUGUUAGGGGCUAAAACCAGGAGAGGAGUGGAAUGUAUUAUGGGAAGAGCUCUCUUAUUUUUCUUAUACAAUUCUUUUUCCAAAUUUACAUUUUGAUCUUGGUAAGAUGCCUUUAUCCAAGCUCUGAAGGCACUAUGGCCAUCAGACAUCAAUAAAAUGUCCCAAGAUUCUACAGGCCAGGUCAGUCUCACCCACUUCCCUUCUUUUUAAUUCUACUCCAGCCCACCAAAGGGCCACAUUACAUAGAGGCUUAAUACUUAGAAAAAAUAGAGCAAGGGAGGGCCAUUUGCAAAGAGGAACCCAUGCUACUUUUUAUUUUUAGUAAUACCCCAUUUUUUCUUCACACAAACAUUCUCCAUCUCAUCACCUCCUGAUGCUGGAAACUCGAGGCUGUGAUUUUUUUGCUGUUCAUAAAUCUGCAGAAGUUUAAAGCCUUGGAGCGUGAAUCUGAUGUGGACCUUCCUCCACCUUCUCUUCCUGGAGCAAACUCUUCACCCCAGGCCUGCUCUCCUCUACAAAACAUACAGACAACACCAGGUCCUGGGUCCCUGGAGGACACCACCGAUACUGUGAGGUGAUGGUGAGGUGAUGGUGGCUGAUGCACAGGGGUAAAUGCGAGACGAUCAACACCUUCGUUCAUGAGGAUGUGGCCACGUUGGCAUAUUUCUGCAGAAUUCCACCUCUGCCCUCUACCAACAGCUGCUGUGUGCACAACAGUCACAAAGGUACUCACGAUGUCAGUGUGCUUUGCCGCAUAGGAACCAGACCCCUGCACUGCUAUUACCACCUUAGGCCCAUCCUUGUAGGCUGUGAGGACGGGGCACCUGUUCACCUGGAUGGCUAGAUGACUCCUGCACCUCACACAGGAAGCUAAGUGACUUGCACCCCACACCUCCAAACGUUUGAGGCCCUGGCCAAAGACUUGCCUGUAAUGCUUCUCCCCUCGUAUAGGGAUCUCUCAUUGUAACAAUUCAUGUGCACUUCCUGCAUCUCUCUCCCAGCCUCUGCCCCCAAAUCACCACUCCACUGGACAUGCUGGCCACGGUGUCAAUUUUUUUUGGUGUAAGACAAAAUGGGGAUGGAGGAGUUGGGGAGAGCCUGGGUAAUGGGCAUCUACUGUGGAAAAGCCUUGCUCUCACUGAGUGGCUACACAGGCCCGGCUGGCCGGGCAGAUUUGCCCACAAGGUGCUCUGGUAACAACUCGCAGUGGCACUGUCCCUAGGCAGCCCUGAGUGGUCUGGCUCAUAGGGUCUUUCUUCCCCACCUUCAGCUCCCUUCUCCCCAGCGGGCUCCUGUGGAGGGGAUUAGGGACAACAUCCAACGGGGGAAGCCCGCUGCCUUUCCAGAAACAAAGCCCUGAAGCUGGGAAACAGCACUGGAAGGAGCCGCUACCUGGAGGAGAGAAGUGGUGAAGCAGGGACUCUGGCAGGUGCUCGCGGCCACCUCAUUGGCCCGCAGGGGGCGCUGCGCCACCUGAAUCCGUUGGCCAAGCAGAGACCAGAAAUUUUUCCUGGGUUGAUGGGUUGGAAGUUUUGUGGUUACCAACACACGGCUGGGGGAUAACAGGUGAAGAAGCAGAAAAUUCAGCCGAUAUGAUUACAGUCUAACUUUCAAAGAACAGAUUUCUGAAUUUUAUCGUAACUUUCAUGCUCUCAUGCUCUUUAGUAUUGAAUUUACCACCUUCAGAUUUACAUUCCAGCACUGUAGAUAUGAAGGAAAGAAAAGAUUAAGUACAGAGCAGCUACUUAUGCUAUAAGCUUUACAGUUUCACUGUACUGGAAAAGAGUUUGUUUCAUUUUUUUUUUUUUUUAAUUUUUAGUGUUCAUUUAUUUUUGACAGAGAGACAGAGAGCAAGUAGGAGAGGGGCAGAGAGAGAGGGAGACACAGAAUCCGAAGCAGGCUUCAGGCUCUAAGCUGUCAGCCCCCCCCAAAGGGGGGCUGGAACCCACAAAUCAUGACCUGACCCCUUCAGGGUCAUGACCUGACACGAAGUCAGAUGCCCAACAAACCGAGUCACCCAGGCGCCCCAGUUUGUUUAAUCUUGUAAUCCAUUGUAUACACACUUCAUUUCUUUUCUUUGUUUUUCUUUUUUUUAAAGUGCGCACCAUGCCCAAAGACCCCUGAGAUCAAGAGUUGCAUGCUUUAUCCUUGGAGCCACCCAGAUGCCCCUACACAAUCCAUUUCUGAAGGCAGUUUUUCUACCCACAAGAGGGAGAAUCUGUAGGUGACUUUCUUCUCUACCCUGUGACUCCACCAAAAUCAUGUCAAGGCUUUAAAUCAAAGGAAGGCACCUGACUCUAGGGCAGCCAUCCACGGACUGACAGGCUGGGUGCCCAUGAAAGAAACUGGUCUGGAGAUUUUACUGUCCUGGAAUAAGGCUGACAAAACUGGAUGCUCUUAUUUUCAUUUCCCCCCAUAAUUCCAGGAGCUGUGACUGUAUUGUCUUCGUUUGUGACCUUUAGCAUGUAGCCUAUUGCUUGUUAUAAGAGAGCUUUCAAUAAAUCUUUAAUGGGCCAUUGUAAUAGGUCCUGCUGGUGCUAAGGAUUUUUUACUGAUUCUGUUUUCAGAAUGGGAAAGUUCCCUUCCCUUCUGCUCUCCGUUUCCACCUGUAAAUGGAUUGUGAAUUUUGUUGAAUAAUUUUUCUUCAUCUGAUGACACAGUCAUAUACUAUUUCCGUCCUAAUCAGUUAAUGGAGUGGAAUUGAAUAAAAUUUCUGGACAUAAGCAACUCCAUUUUGAAGCUCUAUUUUCCUUGUCAACUAAUGAACUCUUGGACUGGGCCAGAAGCCACAAUGGUUUUACAAGCGGUUCCUCAUAAAAUUUCAAAUGAGCAACUGGCAUUAGGAUCAUGUGAGGACAGGAAAGUUAAUUAAUACAUACCAGUGACCGUUUCAUUUGAUAGCACCAAUAAAGUAAUCAGUAAGAUAGUAAUCAGAAGCGGUUCAAUCAAUUAGCACCAAAUUACCUGUUUUUUUUCUUCCUUCUCUUAUCUAAAGCAUGUAAUUACCCCUUCCUUCUUUCUCCUAAAAAACCCCCAGCUUUCCCCACCUGAGGGGGCACUUUUCUGGUUACCCUUAAAUCUAGUCCCACAUUGUAACUCUGAGACCCCAAAUAAAAGCCUUUGCUCUUCUU